CACACUCAACAAAGAGACACUGCUCAGGCUGCUUGCCAAAGCAGGUGUGCUUUCCUUAUCACUGUUUAAGUCUCACCAAAACAAAGAAUGAGGAGAGGUGGGUUUUAUGACCUCACUGAAGAGAAAAGGAACUGAAAGGUGACUAAAAACUUGCUGCCAAACAAGUAAAAGUCAUGGAGACUUUGAAUACUACUGUACAACCAGCUUAAAAAAUGUCUAAGGUGUUACACGAUGGAUGGUGAAGACAGGGGCACUGUAAGGAAGAACAGAAUGAGAGAGACCCUGCAGAGCGAGAGAAGAGACAUCUGUGACACAGGGAGGGACCGUGAUGCCAAGGCAGGACCCUCUCAAAGGGCAAACAGCGACAGACUGCGAAGUUCCUGAGAGAUAGAAUAACAGGAAGAGAAUAAGAAGCAGAAGAGGAGGGCCAGGAGACAGCUCAGAGCACAGCACCUGCCUGGCAAGCACGAGGUCAUGAGUUCGGUUCCCAGUACAAAAACAAAAACAAGAAGCGCAGGAGGAAGCAGAGCCCUCUCAGAGCUGGCUCACAGAUUUAGGAAGAGAAAGAAUUAACAGGAAAUCUGACCUCCUCACCACCGUUCAGUUGAGGAUCCUGAGUCCAAAGAGGUUCUGCUGCAUAGUCAUCCUGUGCGUAGCGUAUACUCCUGUGCUCCAAUUCGGGCCCUCCUGCUUCCUCCUGAGACCUCCUCAGCUUGUCUUUGCCUCCUCCACCUCUCCUGCCCCUCUCCCCAGGUGAUCACAAGCCCUGCCUCACCAUGCUAGCUAACCAGAGAGGCCACACCACGUCAGUUUGUGGCCAGGUCCUGUUGAUAAGUCAGUGUGGUUGUAUCUCAUUGGUCACAUUAGCCCAGCUGCAGCCCAUCGGGUUCCAUUGGCAUUGGAACUGGCAUUGCCAGGCACUGUGUUCAGUCCCCUUGAUGAGGAAAACAAAACUUUGGGAAGCCAAAAUCGAAGACCAAAUUAGAUAGCUUGCACAAAGCAACAGUCUCACGCCACUUCUGGUAUCCUGCUUAGACUGCCUGGCUCAAACCCUCUGUGCUUAACUGCACCCCGUUCUGCCUCUGGAACUCAGCCCACGCCAUUCCACCUAAAUCCUCUACAUAAGACUUCCCCCAAGAAAGUCUCAGGCUCAGAUUUUGGAGCGUAGCUCCUUCCUCUGAGCCUGCAGACAUAGUGAUAUUUGGUUCUCUCCGCCUUUCAGUGUCUUCACUUGCAGUAAAUCUAAAAAUGCUUUCACACCCUCACAACAGCAGUAUCUUAUAAUGAGCCGCCAUGACUCCCAGUUGGAAUGCUCCUCUCUGAAGAGCCCGUUCCCCUCUGAGUGGACUUGUGUCUGAGGCACACAGUUUUCUUUUCUUUUCCUCUGUCCUCUCUGCUGUGUCUGCCACCACACAGCAGAGAGGACAGGAUCAGCCUGUAGUGACAGUUCCUGGGUGACACAAGAGUUCUAAGAGAAGAUUGCCUGGAAGUCCCCAGUAGGUAAAUGCCCCUGAGAGAAGGACAGUUCACCUCUCCUGAACCGUGCAAUCACAUGAUUAUAGAGAAACGAGCUUUGAGCCCAACGGCCUCAGCCCCACCACAAACUACAUAUGUGGAUGUAGGGACACUUUCAUGUUCUUCAGCCUCGGUUUCCACACUUGUCAAAGAAGACAAAUGCUUUAUUCUUAAGCUUAUGAUGAGAGUCAAGUAAGGUGAUAUAUAUCUGGAGUCCAGCACAAGGUCUGAUCCAUCACUCUCAACAAACGGCAGCAUACUUUCCUGCUGUCCCUUGCAUUUCUGAUAGCCCUAUGGUCACCUCCUCAUGGGGAGGGGAGUCCCAUCCUUCAGUCCUGUGUGUGUGUGUGUAUUUAUAAAUCAGGCACAGUAAGAGAUCAACAAUCACUACUAAUAAAAUAAUCAUGACAGUAUACUGUAAUGAAGGGUAUGUAAAACUUAUGAAAUGUUUAUUUCUAAAAUUUUCCAUUUAGACCACAUUUUCCAUUUGAACCAUAGUUGACCUCAGGUAACCACAACUGGAAAGCAAAACCACAGAUAAGGAGGACCGAGACAAUAAGCAGAGGCUAAAACUGAGAACCUUCAGAGUGCUCCAGUUGCUCAGUCCUGAAUUCCCUCUGCAAGGAAGUCACAGAUCUCAGACAGCCAAGAAGUUAGAAAGUUACAGGCCGGGCUGAGGCUCAUGACAGAGCACUUGCUUAGUGUGUGAAGCUCUGGGUUCCGUGCCCAGCUCUGUGUGGGUAAAGCCAAGAGAGCCUGUGGGUUUGUGAUCUAGGACAGGGAUAGAGGGGACGUGGGGACCAAACUAGCUUGGGAGCAGCACACUAAGGAGAUGGUGCCCCCUAGCUGAGUAGAGGAAGGUGCGCUGAGGCCCGACCUGAGGAAAAGGAAGUGGGGGACAUCUCCUGGGGGCAAGGGAACAGCUCCCAGUGCCCUAAAGGGCUAGAAGUCUGGGCACCUCUCCAGUGGAGUGCAGAGCCCCCAAAACGCUGGUAGUGUGAGCCCUGCACAGAGAAAGUGACCGAAAGGUGGCAUGAUAGAAUUAGGUACCAUUAAAGGGUGAAGUCUUAAUUUUUCCUACUUUCUGUGUGAUUUCCACAGUAACUUCUCUGGGUGUCCGCACAGCUCAGACAGUGGGGCGGGGCGGGGGGGGGGGGGCUCCUCACUUGCUUAUUUUAGUCCAAAAGUCUGUGGUGAAGGUGAAGGAAGGUCACCAAUGAAAAGCUUGGACUGCAGACUGAAAAUGCAGGACUGUAUUGCAAUGGUGAGGAGAGAAUAAAAUCUGGAAAAAUCUCUCCAGGGGAGGCUUCUAAGGUGCAGCUCAGCCUCGACCAGAUCCCACACCAGGAGAGAAGGGAGUCUCUUCACCAUCAGGUGAGCUGGGCAGACCGCGGAGCAGCCCAGGCCCUCCACCAUCCUCUUCCGCCCCCUUUACUUCAAAAGACUGAGAGAAAGUCCCUGCCUGCUACUGCCAUCCACUGGCCACACCUGAAAUGCAACUGAUUUCAAGGUCAGAAAUUAGAACAUUUGUGUAUCUAUAUUUGCAGAAGGUUUUUUGGUUUAUACUUUCCUUCCUUUAGACAUGAGACUCUUUUAGUAUACAAUAUAUUUCUGGAGUGGACAUUUUUGUAAAAAAAAAAAAAGAGAAAGGAAAUCAAGACGUGGAGAAGUUAAAUAAGUGGUCCAAAGGGACAGGCAGGAAAUGAGCCCUGCCUCUCUGACUGCAGGACCUUUGCUCCCUCCAGCAUCUCCAGUGUGAACACUUUGUUCUGCAGCUAUGGCAGCAGUUCUCAGAGUCUGGAAUACUCUGACCAUCUGAGUACAGAAUGCUCCUGACCUCCUCUACUCAUCCACACCAUCUCCCGUGGGCCCCGAGCACUUCUCCACCCACCUUGUCUAACCGCAGCCAUCUGUGGGCCAGGGUGGUGGAGGCUGUGGACAGUAUGCACAGAUUCGUGGUCUCCAUGGGCUCUCAGACUGGUGAGGGGAGUGAGCAGGCACCUAGGACGGUGGUGCCCAUGAGAAGAGCCACACAGUUCAGGCGGAAUUAAGGGGAGAUCAACAGGAAAGUGAAAUUAGAAUUUUAAAUAAGCCUGACCAAGGAUGUCACCAAGACCAGGCAGACAUGUCCUUGUCCAGAAGCCUGAUAGCAGGACAUUCCUUCCUUCGUGUAAGCUUGUCUAACAGAUGGCCUUAAGAUGUAACUUGCAAUGGAACAGGACAUUUCUCCCUUUGUAUAGCUUGUGCUUGGCAUAGCUGAUGGCCUUGCAAUGUAACCUAAAAUGUUUAAACCCCCUUAGCAACCUAAGAUGUCACCCAACCUUCCAAUCAUACUGCGCCAGAUCUACCUUUGUGCCUCCCUUUUUGCUCUCCCCAUAAAAGCCCCCAGAACUCUGCCUGGCAGGGCUCUGGCUCUUUGGGAGAGAUCCUAGUCAAGCCCACUGGUGUAAUAAACUGCCUCCUGAAUCUC